CACACCUGUCACUCACCUCAACCCUUUCUCUCUUUUCCCCAUCUUUCUGUGGCUAGCUCCUCCUCAUUCUUUAGGUCUCAGUGUAGAUAGCACCACUAUCAGGAAGGAGUCCAGACACUGCCAGGCCUAAGAAAUGUAAAUUAAAUGCUCUCAAGGGAUGAGAGACACUGGAAGCUGGGACGCUCUUGGAACUCUGUUGCCAUCAUCAAGG
rnacentral:lncRNA from 10 species